UGGCUCAGCCGGUAGAGCGUCUGACUAUCAGUCAGGCGGUCGCUGGUUCGAGUCCGGU
rnacentral:tRNA from 1 species